GACAGCUUUGACGUGGCCUCAAGAGUCGGGGGCGGAAAAAAGGAAAAAGAAGAGACAGCCGGAUGAUACUCGCGCGACGCUUGCAGGGUCAAUGCUAAGAUACAUGCAAGGAGCAACUCAAGGCCAGGAGGAAGAAUUAGAUCAACCAUCAGUUCUAGUCCACAACACCAGCCACCAACCAGCUCUGCAGACUCUGCAACAGCAUUCAGCCCUGACCAACAAUCAUCAAAUAGCCCAGGAACAUGUUGGUGUUUUUGGACUGGAAACCCUCAGCAGUAUCUGGCAACCCUGGAGCUACCAGUCAUCUGAGAGGAGAACAGCUGAGGAGACAGAUGCUGUGAUCGCCGUGGCAGCUGUUGUCAAGGAAAUCCACCUGACGGAUGUCAGGGAGAUGCAGCAGACGCCUCAGAGACGUCUAAGAAGAAAG